GCCUUCAGCAAAACAGACUAAAGGGAUCCCACAAAAAGUCUACGUGAAGACCUGCGCUGACCGCAAGCAUUGGCAGGACAAGAAGGGCUUUCUUCAGAUAUCAUUUGGAUCAUAUCAUGACAAGAAGGGCUUUCUUCAGAUAUCAUUUGGAUCAUAUCAUGU